CAAGGCAAGUGAAGAAAAAAAAUACAAUCACUUAUACUACACACUGAAAAUAUUCAUAUGUAGAUAAAAAAUUCUCUCUAAUUUCUGAUGCCUAU